GUUUUACUUGUCCGAGGUCGCCGACAGCCGCAAGGCCCAGGCGUGAAAAGGGAAGCAGGUGCGUAGCCGUCGACUCGACUGCCACAAUGCCUGCGCUGCCCCCGCAACGGUAACCGACAGCGCUCAUGCGCAGGCUUUCUCGAUACGCCACUGGGUUCGCCUGGGAAGGCGGGAAAGUGCCAGUCGGCAGCCCGGAGACCUGCCUCGGCGCGAUGUGACUG
rnacentral:ncRNA from 1 species